AUACCCAAGAGAAAUCAAGAGUUAAACAUCAAGAGUUGAAGGAAUCAAGAACAUGAAUGCUCAUUAGGGUUUAUACAAGUCAAGAACUCCUUUAGUGGUGAAGUUGGGGUUUUCUCAAGUGGAAUAUUUUCAUCCAAAGAUCAUUCCCACAUUAUCAAACACACCGCUAAGGUGGGCGGCAUAUACACCAUGUCUAGAGGGCAUGGGCAGACACCACUAGUGGGCGGCAUGAGAUGGUUACCCCGGACGCGGGAGGCCUAGAUGCGGGCUAAUGAUGAUCACACUGUACCGAUAUGGUCGGGCAGCUUACAUAUGCAUACUUGAUAUGAUAAUGUUUAUGAUGUAGACAGGGAGGUGGCCCAGAUUCCUAGGAGCUACUCAGUAGACUUACAGGAGCACUCCAUUAUUCCGGAGGUGCCAUUUUUGAUGCAUUAUUUUGUGUAUAUACAUAUGGGCAUGACGGGGUCCUAUCCCGUCUUUAUGUUUAGUACUCUAGUAGAGGCUCGUAGAUACAUAUGUGUAG